rnacentral:tRNA from 1 species
GACUAUAAUACUGACGGUGAAGUAACUUGCCUGCAAAGCUUGUUUUUAGGGUUCAAUUCCCUAUGUAGUCU